rnacentral:rRNA from 1 species
GAUCAUGGCUCAGGACGAACGCUGGCGGCGUGCCUAACACAUGCAAGUCGAACGGAGAAUUUUAUUUCGGUAGAAUUCUUAGUGGCGAACGGGUGAGUAACGCGUAGGCAACCUGCCCUUUAGACGGGGACAACAUUCCGAAAGGAGUGCUAAUACCGGAUGUGAUCAUCUUGCCGCAUGGCAGGAUGAAGAAAGAUGGCCCCUACAAGUAAGCUAUCGCUAAAGGAUGGGCCUGCGU